AGUGAACGCUGGCGGCAGGCCUAACACAUGCAAGUCGAACGGCAGCACAGCAGUAGCAAUACUGUGGGUGGCGAGUGGCGGACGGGUGAGGAAUACAUCGGAAUCUGCCUAGUCGUGGGGGAUAACGUAGGGAAACUUACGCUAAUACCGCAUACGACCUACGGGUGAAAGCGGGGGAUCGCAAGACCUCGCGCGAUUAGAUGAGCCGAUGUCCGAUUAGCUAGUUGGCGGGGUAAUGGCCCACCAAGGCGACGAUCGGUAGCUGGUCUGAGAGGAUGAUCAGCCACACUGGAACUGAGACACGGUCCAGACUCCUACGGGAGGCAGCAGUGGGGGAAUAAUUGGGACAAAUGGGCGCAAGCCUGAUCCAGCCAUGCCGCGUGGGUGAAGAAGGCCUCGG
rnacentral:rRNA from 1 species